CACAGCUGUCGAAGAAGACAUUUUUCUGGAGUUACUGGAGGCCCAACCAGACCUAUGCCUGACAAUACGUGAAAAGAUUUCAGAUGAAGAUUUUUGUCCUUUAGCUCAUUCCACACCAUCCUCCUCGGAUACAUUAUCUUCCCUCACGGACACUAUAUCACUUUCAUCAAGUGACAGUGACCUCAGGGAAAAGGGCAUUCCUGCAGGCCGCAGUAGAUCCAGCAAAGACAGUUCUGCACCAAAUGUUUCUGUGUCAGAGGCUGCAAAAGAGAUGGUUAAAAAUGCCUUGACUAGGAAACCUGGUGGAGAGGAAAUUCUUGAAGAAUACAAUGCCGAAA